rnacentral:tmRNA from 1 species
GGGGGCGACAUGGCUUCGAUUUGACCAUGUGAUAGCUCGUGGCAAGCCGAGGACUAAACAGGCCGCCUCGUAAAUCCGCCUGUUUAAAAGAAAAAUGCCAACAGAAAUGUGGCUAGCGAGGCAAACCUCGCUCUCGCGGCUUAAUUAGCCCCGCGAGCGUCAUUGAAGCCGAUUUCGGCUAAGCUUCAAUGGCGUGUAUGAAGCCGAAAUUGUGGUUGCAGUUCGCGUUCUGACUUCAGCCACUCUUAACCAACAGAACGCUAGGCCGAAAUAGCGUCGCGACUACAUUUCGGCCGAAACUACUCGCGACUAAGCUUGUAGUCACGAACUAAAGCUCGGUCAAAGACGCGGGUUCGAUUCCCGCCGCCUCCAUUU